AAUUUUCAACCUUAUCAGUUUUGUAACGAGACUGUCUGAGGAUUGGAUGUGGGGGUUUGUGCAGGCUGCCUCAGUGCGGUCUGCUCCCCUGAAAUGCAUUAGCGAGUUCAAACUGGGCUCCGUCUAUUGGUGUGAUAAUUAUCUACGCCGUGGAUUGGGCUUAGACUUGCUUCUAACCGUCUGCAAGGACAAUAUUUUGACA
rnacentral:misc_RNA from 1 species